GUUUUGGUUGAACUUGUGAGAGUAUGCUGUUGAUAUCAUGCGGUGUGUAUAUGGUCACCGGAUUAUCUAAAACAAUAUCAGUGGCAGUAACAGUAGGCAUUUUCUGCCGCAUGGGUUAAUUUAAAUGGUUUGUUUUCGUUGGCGAGAUACUCAUACAGGGGCUGCAUGUAGAUUGCUGUGGAAGCCAAGGUCGGCAGUAUGAAUCGUAGCUGGGCUAGGCUGAG